GUCAGCUCGUGUUGUGAAAUGUUGGGUUAAGUCCCGCAACGAGCGCAACCCUUAUCCUUUGUUGCCAGCGAUUCGGUCGGGAACUCAAAGGAGACUGCCGGUGAUAAACCGGAGGAAGGUGGGGAUGACGUCAAGUCAUCAUGGCCCUUACGAGUAGGGCUACACACGUGCUACAAUGGCGCAUACAAAGAGAAGCGACCUCGCGAGAGCAAGCGGACCUCACAAAGUGCGUCGUAGUCCGGAUCGGAGUCUGCAACUCGACUCCGUGAAGUCGGAAUCGCUAGUAAUCGUGGAUCAGAAUGCCACGGUGAAUACGUUCCCGGGCCUUGUACACACCGCCCGUCACACCAUGGGAGUGGGUUGCAAAAGAAG
rnacentral:rRNA from 1 species